rnacentral:rRNA from 1 species
UACGUAGGGUGCAAGCGUUAAUCGGAAUUACUGGGCGUAAAGCGUGCGCAGGCGGUUCGCUAAGACAGAUGUGAAAUCCCCGGGCUUAACCUGGGAACUGCGUUUGAAACUGGAAGGCUUGAGUGUGGCAGAGGGGGGUGGAAUUCCACGUGUAGCAGUGAAAUGCGUAGAGAUGUGGAGGAACACCGAUGGCGAAGGCAGCCCUCUGGACGGAUACUGACGUUGAGACGCGAAAGCGUGGGGAGCAAACGGG